ACUUUUAUAAUUUAUAUAGAAUAUUACAUUGAAGAUGUAAAUGAGAUUAAUUAAUCUGAGAGUG
rnacentral:tRNA from 1 species